CAUGUCAUACGUAUACGAGUACGUGUAGUGACGCUUGGAAGUAACAAAAAUUAAUGUACAAGGUACUGCUUAGUCUUUGCUGGAUGUUUACUUGCCCACAUCACCUAACAAUUGAUACUUCAGGGCCACAGCAGGCAAAAUUAAACUGUUUUACUAAACUCCUGCUGCCAUGAAAAGGACCAUCCUUGGGUUUGUGAGAGUUUUGUGUAGUGCUGCUUCAAAUAAAACGAACCAUCAACAGCAACUGUAGUGUUCUGCACUUUAGUAAUUCUGGUCAUGUUGCCAGCCCAAGAAACAUUCCAACUAUCACAGUCAGCUCUCAGUUUCCAGCUCCAAAUCAAGUUAGAGCAAGGGUCUCCAAACUACAGCCCGCAGGCCACAUCUGGAUCGCGAUGUGAUUUUAUCCAGCCCACGAAAGAAUUGUGCAGAAAUGCACCAACUGAACUA